CGCCACCAGAGGCGCACAGGACCGGCGACGGCUGCACUGGGGCUGGAACUGGCGGCAGGGCAUUGUCAGGGCGGGACCCGGCGAUCGCAGGGUGGGCGGCUUGCAGGGAUCAGAAGCAGGAGGCAGGAGGUCCGGGCACCCGGCUCUGGGCAUCAGGCCGCUCUUUAUCCUGAAUCCCCGCCUCCCUCUGCCCUGACGCCCUGCGCGCACUCCAUCUCAGGCCGCGAAGUGGGCCAUGUGAGCAGUCUCCCUCCUCCUUUCCCCGCGGGCGACACGAGGAGCCCAGGGCGCAGCGGGCUCGAAUCACAUAGUGCCCGCCCCGGAUUUCGUGCGCAGAGAGAACCCCAGGCCCCACAGGCCCUCCCACGCUCUGCCCAGAUCCCUGGGCAAGAGUCCACCGUCAGCAUCGUCGCUUAGUGCUCUCCCUGGUUAUUCCAGAAACACCAGUCGCUGAGGAUCUCUCACCUGCAGUUCCCUGCUGGAUCUUCAUUCUGACUGGUAGGCACCCCACUUCACUAAAGUGGAUAUGUGCCAUCCCAGUCCGGGGGGCCAUGAAUGCACCCAUCCUGCUAUUGGGGUGAGCCCGCAGCAGAGGAGCCUCCUCCCUGCCUGGCAUCCUGCAGGAACUGGGCAUGCACCUCCCGCAGCACAGUUACAAAUGCCCGUCUGACUCUGCUGGCAAAGGCAUGUUCCUCAUUGGUGCUGUGCACUUCCAG
rnacentral:lncRNA from 1 species